rnacentral:rRNA from 1 species
UACGUAGGGUGCAAGCGUUGUCCGGAAUUAUUGGGCGUAAAGAGCUCGUAGGCGGUUUGUCGCGUCUGCUGUGAAAACCCGAGGCUCAACCUCGGGCCUGCAGUGGGUACGGGCAGACUAGAGUGCGGUAGGGGAGAUUGGAAUUCCUGGUGUAGCGGUGGAAUGCGCAGAUAUCAGGAGGAACACCAAUGGCGAAGGCAGAUCUCUGGGCCGUAACUGACGCUGAGGCGCGAAAGCUAGGGGAGCAAACAGG